UGGCACAGCCAUAGCAAGAGCAUCGCAGCCUGAAGAGGAAGAAGGUGCCUUUGCUCAGCAGAAAGAGACCUAGGCUGCAGUCCUCUGUGCAUCCCAGCCCCCUCACCCUCUCCUCGUUUACAGGAAUAAUGGGGGUCGAAUGGCCGCAGUUCCAGGAACACGUUGAUUUGGAAGGUGCAUCACGGAGCCACACUCCACUUAGAAAAGGGAGAUAUCCCAAGAUGCUCUGGAGUAUUUAUUGUGCUGAGAACUGUCUCAGGUCUCUCUUCACUGACCACAGGGAUUUUUGUUUUUCAUCUUGGGCAGCCACAGGGAUUUUUGUUUUUCUCCUUAAAAUCAGCAACCAGUUCAGACCCAAGGAACAAGGUGCUCUUUGACCUUUCCUUGACACCAGGCUUGGACCAACACUCUGGUACAGUUACCCCGCCCUCCACACCUCUGGCCUGCUUCUCAAGCGACUCCAGAGCCAAGAUGUCUGCGCACUAGCAGAAAGCAGAGACACGAAGAUUCCAAAUGCACCGCAGGCCAAAUAUCUCACAGCUUGCAGUUGUAUUUGGAAUGGCACUUAUUGGUGUUAUUUAUCAGCAUUGCCAACAGGUCUGUGCUGAAUUCUCACAUUUACGCUACACAGCAAGGAGCUCCAUCUUUUCUACAGGCUCAGCCCUAGUGACAAAAUUACUGACACAGAGUCAGUCACCCCCCCCCACAAACCAAUAUUGAUAUCAAAGAAUACAAUGAUAGUAUAGAGGUACAAAGAUAUCAGACAGUGCUAGUAUCAUAUCUAGCUUCUCUCAACAUAAAGUUACCAAAGCGUUGAUAUCAGGAUUAAUAGUUGAUACAUAUCUUGACAUCAACGAAGCAGCAGUGAACUUCUUAUCCACCAUAAAUACCAUAAAUGAUGGCAAUCACUCACAUAAGGCUUUGUAAUCAGAGUAUGAAACUAUGAUCAAAUUCGAAUUUGAUGACAACAAAUGGCAUUGUAUUUUUGAUAUCAGGCCAAGUUAUGUGCAUUCAGUAUCAAGAUGCUGAAUGCACUUGUUCUUGUUCAGGUCUUGAUAUUACAGUGUGUUGAUGUUUCGACACCAAAAGCAAAUGUAUCACAACUUUCCAACGUUGAGAUGAAAGGAGCAAUGCUAGUUUUGAAGAUAAACAUACAAAGGAGUGCUGUUAUACAUUUUAAAGGUCUAGAAUAAAGUCUUAUGGCUGAACCUAUUUAAGGUCUACAACAAUAACAUCACUGUAGGUUGCCAGUACCAUUACCAUCAGGCUAGCACUUGCUUGAACCCUGGCCUUUAGUUUGUGUCUCUGCCAGCAGGCUCAUGAACAAAGUGACCAAUGCGGUAGAAAACAGAGGAAGUGAAUAAUAAAAUACGACUAAUUUCUUAUUGCUCACAACCUUGGGGUCACUCUGAAACAAAACAUAUGCUGAUAUGCUCAUGUAGCAAUGUUGCCAUGCCAAGUGUUUUGUUUUUAUUUC